rnacentral:lncRNA from 1 species
UUCCGGUAGGAUAAACCGAUAUUUCUAUACAAUACCUGCAAAUUACACAAGAUUGUUAAACCACACUUCAAAAACGGACCUAUAAAGACAGUAGUAGUGUUUGAAUAUGUCAUCUUUGACUUCAUGAAUAUCCACUUUACCACGCAAAAUGGAUAAUAGACCAAACAUUUAGCACGAAUGAAAGACUCCCUCAGUCUCACAUAUCUUGAGACAUUUACUUAUUUGGCAAAAGUUUUAUCCUUUAUUCACCUACACACAAAACAUUAUUUUUUUAAUUUUCGUGCAAAAAAAAGGCUCAAGAUAGUCGGGACGGAGAGAGUAAUAGUGAUAAUGGAUGAAGAAAUAUUUCAUCCCAGACUUACCAUUGUGAUUUUGCCCUAUAUUUUUGUGUUACAAGAAUAUGUUCUAAUUCUCCUCGAAGCUGGAAUACAAUAGAAAAUAGACCUGAAAAUAGGUAAAAUGUGUUUCAAUUCAAAUAUUUAAUUUUGCAUUACACGCCAUAAAAGAGCAUCAAAGUAUGAGAUAUUCUUUCAUGCGGUGCCAACGCGUGUGCUUCAAUCUUGUAUUUCACUUCACCAAAAUUAUCAUCUAUGCAAUAAUGUGCAUCUAUACACAUUUAUAAACCCNUUGUGGUAAAGGGUCUUUACGGUUUGGUGAGAUAUUCUUUCAUGCGGUGCCAACGCGUGUGCUUCAAUCUUGUAUUUCACUUCACCAAAAUUAUCAUCUAUGCAAUAAUGUGCAUCUAUACACAUUUAUAAACCCAAACAAAUACGUAAUAAAAUACGAUGUAUAGAAAAUAGAGAUUUCGGAUUCCAUUUGACGGACAGCAAUUUUCCAGAGUCCCAACUCCCACUACUCCUAGGGAUGCAUUAUUCCACAAAGAAAAAACAGGCAAGGAAAAUAUCUGAAGACUAACUUAAGAAAAGCAUCAGAUUCAUUCAUCAUCAAUACAAAAAAAGAGGAACAUCUUUUGCAGUAUAAAUACUUCAUCUCUUACCCCAAAUUUCCGAGGAGAGAAGGAGAAGGCUGCAAAAUUAGGCCAAAAAAUGCGCAGAAGCUAUGACUACCACAACAGCAGCUACUCCAUGGAUGAAUAUCUCCAACGCCUCGACAGAAUCCAACGGAUGCCAAGCAUGGUAGGGGACUAUCCCAAUUUCCCAAACGUGCACGAGGUUCUCAACAAGAAGCCUACAAACAAAGGCAAAAACAAAUAUCAGCAGAAGAACCAACAGAGUCCUGAGAAGAAAGUUCACUUUGCUGAAGAAGAUAAGAAGACGAUUGAGGCUGAUAAGCACGACGUGGUGGAUAAGUCAAUCGAUGUGGAAGCAGAUGGAUUCAUCAAGCAGAAGCACAAGGGAUUUGCACUUUGCAAAUGGGACACCUUCAAGGUCUAUUAAAAAGUUGAGUCAGUAAUGUCAUGACAGGCUUACAUGUAUUUUUGUUUAAUGUUAUCAUGUUAUACUAGGAUUUUACAUAAAUAAGAUGCCUGUCUUCUAUAUGCAUAGUUUGUGAAAUUCUAAGUGGUAUUUUCCUAAUUUCCUGUACUAUAGAUCAGGUAAUGAAAACCUAUCAGCUUUGUCUCUACUUCUUUAUAGUUCUUGUCCUUAACUCUUGAUGGUUUAGGACAAUCCAUAAAUCUUCUAUAUUGCUUUACUGAAUUGAGCUUCUGUUUCUUAGCAUAAACCCGAUACAUAAUUUUUACUAGCCAUCGCUUCAGUUAACACAUGCUCUCUUCUAGAGAUAGUUAAAUGGCAACCAGCAUAUUACGAAUGAAGAUCUUAGUUCGAACCAGUCUGAAACUUUACACAGAUAUCUCACACAGAAAUUCAAAGCUCAAUCAGGAUGACUCGUGCAAUUUAACAGACAUACACUUUUUUUAAGUUUCUGAUGAUCAAGAUUUGAAGCAAGGAUUCUCCUCCCAAAUCAAUGAUGUUGUACAGAAUUAUAAUAAUGGAAAUUAGUGAAAGGAAACUUAAGUGUUAAACAAUCCAAGAUUUUGC